AGAGUUUGAUCAUGGCUCAGAGUGAACGCUGGCGGCAGGCCUAAUACAUGCAAGUCGAACGGCAGCACAGCAGAGCUUGCUCUGUGGGUGGCGAGUGGCGGACGGGUGAGGAGUACGUGGGAAUCUGCCCAGUCGUGGGGGAUAACGUAGGGAAACUUACGCUAAUACCGCAUGCGCCCUUCGGGGGAAAGCCGGGGACCUUCGGGCCUGGCGCGAUUGGAUGAGCCCACGUCGGAUUAGCUAGUUGGCAGGGUAAAGGCCCACCAAGGCGACGAUCCGUAGCUGGUCUGAGAGGAUGAUCAGCCACACUGGAACUGAGACACGGUCCAGACUCCUACGGGAGGCAGCAGUAGGGAAUAUUGGACAAUGGGCGCAAGCCUGAUCCAGCCAUGCCGCGUGAGUGAAGAAGGCCCUCGGGUUGUAAAGCUCUUUUGUCCGGAAAGAAAAGCGCCGGGUUAAUACCCUGGUGUCCUGACGGUACCGGAAGAAUAAGCACCGGCUAACUUCGUG
rnacentral:rRNA from 1 species